AACGAACGCUGGCGGCAUGCCUAACACAUGCAAGUCGAACGAGACCUUCGGGUCUAGUGGCGCACGGGUGCGUAACGCGUGGGAACCUGCCCUUAGGUUCGGAAUAACUCCCCCAAAGGGGUGCUAAUACCGGAUAAUGUCUUCGGACCAAAGAUUUAUCGCCUUUGGAUGGGCCCGCGUUGGAUUAGCUAGUUGGUAGGGUAAAAGCCUACCAAGGCGACGAUCCAUAGCUGGUCUGAGAGGAUGAUCAGCCACACUGGGACUGAGACACGGCCCAGACUCCUACGGGAAGCAGCAGUGGGGAAUAUUGGACAAUGGGCGAAAGCCUGAUCCAGCAAUGCCGCGUGAGUGAUGAAGGCCUUAGGGUUGUAAAGCUCUUUUACCCGGGAUGAUAAUGACAGUACCGGGAGAAUAAGCUCCGGCUAACUCCGUG
rnacentral:rRNA from 1 species